CAGCUAAGGUCCCAAAGUCAUGGUUAAGUGGGAAACGAUGUGGGAAGGCCCAGACAGCCAGGAUGUUGGCUUAGAAGCAGCCAUCAUUUAAAGAAAGCGUAAUAGCUCACUGGUCGAGUCGGCCUGCGCGGAAGAUGUAACGGGGCUAAACCAUGCACCGAAGCUGCGGCAGCGACACUGUGUGUUGUUGGGUAGGGGAGCGUUCUGUAAGCCUGUGAAGGUGUGUCGUGAGGCAUGCUGGAGGUAUCAGAAGUGCGAAUGCUGACAUAAGUAACGAUAAAGCGGGUGAAAAGCCCGCUCGCCGGAAGACCAAGGGUUCCUGUCCAACGUUAAUCGGGGCAGGGUGAGUCGACCCCUAAGGCGAGGCCGAAAGGCGUAGUCGAUGGGAAACGGGUUAAUAUUCCCGUACUU
rnacentral:rRNA from 1 species